rnacentral:rRNA from 1 species
GACGAACGCUGGCGGCGUGCUUAAUACAUGCAAGUCGAGCGAGGUUACUGUUUCGGAUCCCUUCGGGGUGAAGAAGCUUUAACCUAGCGGCGGACGGGUGAGUAACGCGUGGGUAACCUACCCCAAAGUCCGGGAUAACAGCGGGAAACCGCUGCUAAUACCGGAUGUCUUUACCUUGGGGCAUCUUGAGGUAAAGAAAGGUAACGCUUUGGGAUGGGCCCGCGUCCCAUUAGCUAGUUGGUGAGGUAACGGCUCACCAAGGCGACGAUGGGUAGCCGGCCUGAGAGGGUGGACGGCCACACUGGGACUGAGACACGGCCCAGACUCCUACGGGAGGCAGCAGUAGGGAAUAUUGCGCAAUGGACGGAAGUCUGACGCAGCGACGCCGCGUGAGCGAUGAAGGUCUUCGGAUCGUAAAGCUCUGUCCUUGGGGAAGAAGGCGAAAGCUUGACGGUACCCAAGAAGAAAGCCCCGGACUAACUACGUGCCAGCAGCCGACGGUAAAAUAGCUACU